rnacentral:rRNA from 1 species
GAUGAACGCUGGCGGCGUGCCUAAUACAUGCAAGUCGAGCGAACAGACGAGGAGCUUGCUCCUCUGACGUUAGCGGCGGACGGGUGAGUAACACGUGGAUAACCUACCUAUAAGACUGGGAUAACUUCGGGAAACAGGAGCUAAUACCGGAUAAUAUAUUGAACCGCAUGGUUCAAUAGUGAAAGACGGUUUUGCUGUCACUUAUAGAUGGAUCCGCGCCGCAUUAGCUAGUUGGUAAGGUAACGGCUUACCAAGGAAACGAUGCGUAGCCGACCUGAGAGGGUGAUCGGCCACACUGGAACUGAGACACGGUCCAGACUCCUACGGGAGGCAGCAGUAGGGAAUCUUCCGCAAUGGGCGAAAGCUUGACGGAGCAACGCCGCGUGAGUGAUGAAGGUCUUCGGAUCGUAAAACUCUUUUAUUAGGGAAGAACAAAUGUGUAAGUAACUAUGCACGUCUUGACGGUACCUAAUCAGAAAGCCACGGCUAACUACGUG